rnacentral:rRNA from 1 species
AAGUCGCGAGGCCAAGCUAAUCCCUUAAAGCUAGUCUCAGUUCGGAUUGCAGGCUGAAACUCGCCUGCAUGAAGCUGGAGUUGCUAGUAAUCGCGAAUCAGAAUGUCGCGGUGAAUGCGUUCCCGGGUCUUGUACACACCGCCCGUCACACCAUGGGAGUCGGGGGCGCCCGAAGUCGGGU